UCCUGGCUGGCUCAGUCAGAAGAGCAUGAGAUUUUUGUUCUCAGGGUCAUGAGUUCAAGUCCCACGUUGAGUA
rnacentral:tRNA from 1 species